GAGGGAAAGCUGCAAUUUCACUCAUAGCUGACGUUGAUGGAACGCACGUUUGCGUCUCUGAAAGUUCGCAACUUGAAGGAAUAAAUGGAAAAGCCAGAUAAGUACCAAAAGCAUCUCUAUAAAGCAAUCCAAGAGCUGUUGGAGCAACAAGACUAGAGGGCCCAAGAUUCCAGAGGAGGAACUGCAAAAUGGUUCUCACAGGACUGAAGAGACAAAGCUGAAAUCUUGGAGAGCCAGGAUUUCAGGGAGAAGGGAAGAGUGAAUAACUGAGCGACACAGAUGGCUUCCCCACAAAAUUUUGCUGAAUUCUGAAGCUACUUGGGGUGGGAGGUUAGGAUGAGA